rnacentral:rRNA from 1 species
GGUGGAGCGAUUUGUCUGGUUAAUUCCGAUAACGAACGAGACUCUGGCCUAUUAAAUAGACGGCAUAUUAAAAAGUAUGCCGUACUUCUUAGAGGGACAAGCGGCGUCUAGCCGCAUGAAAUAGAGCAAUAACAGGUCUGUGAUGCCCUUAGAUGUCCGGGGCUGCACGCGCGCUACACUGAAAGAAUCAGCGAGCGAUUCGCCUGGUUCGGAAGAACCGGGUAACCCAAGUAAAUUCUUUCGUGCUUGGGAUAGGGAAUUGCAAUUAUUUCCCUUAAACGAGGAAUUCCCAGUAAAUGCGGGUCAUAAGCUCGCGUUGAAUACGUCCCUGCCCUUUGUAC